rnacentral:rRNA from 1 species
UGGGGAAUAUUGCACAAUGGGGGAAACCCUGAUGCAGCGACGCCGCGUGAGCGAAGAAGGUUUUCGAAUCGUAAAGCUCUGUCCUAUGGGAAGAUAAUGACGGUACCAUAGGAGGAAGCCCCGGCUAACUACGUGCCAGCAGCCGCGGUAAUACGUAGGGGGCAAGCGUUGUCCGGAAUCACUGGGCGUAAAGGGUUCGCAGGCGGAAAUGCAAGUCAGUUGUGAAAGGCAGAGGCUCAACCUCUGUAAGCAAUUGAAACUGUAUUUCUUGAGAUGUGGAGAGGCAAGUGGAAUUCCUAGUGUAGCGGUGAAAUGCGUAGAUAUUAGGAAGAAUACCGGUGGCGAAGGCGACUUGCUGGACACAAACUGACGCUGAGGAACGGAAGCGUGGGUAGCAAACAGG